rnacentral:rRNA from 1 species
CAACUCGCCUACACGAAGCUGGAAUCGCUAGUAAUCGCGGAUCAGCACGCCGCGGUGAAUACGUUCCCGGGCCUUGUACACACCGCCCGUCACACCAUGAGAGUCUGUAACACCCAAAGCCGGUGGGAUAACCUUUAUAGGAGUCAGCCGUCUAAGGUAGGACAGAUGAUUAGGGUGAAGUCGUAACAAGGUAUC